rnacentral:rRNA from 1 species
GUGUCAGCCGCCGCGGUAAUACGUAGGUCCCGAGCGUUGUCCGGAUUUAUUGGGCGUAAAGCGAGCGCAGGUGGUUUAAUAAGUCUGAUGUAAAAGGCAGUGGCUCAACCAUUGUGUGCAUUGGAAACUGUUAGACUUGAGUGCAGUAGAGGAGAGUGGAAUUCCAUGUGUAGCGGUGAAAUGCGUAGAUAUAUGGAGGAACACCGGUGGCGAAAGCGGCUCUCUGGACUGUCACUGACACUGAGGCUCGAAAGCGUGGGUAGCAAACAGGAUUAGAUACCCUGGUAGUCCACGCCGUAAACGAUGAGUGCUAGUUGUUUGGGGCUAUCCAGCCCUAAGUGACGCAGCAAACGCAUUAAGCACUCCGCCUGGGGAGUACGACCGCAAGGUUGAAACUCAAAUGAAUUGACGG